rnacentral:rRNA from 1 species
UACGGAGGGAGCUAGCGUUGUUCGGAAUUACUGGGCGUAAAGCGCGCGUAGGCGGCUUUGUAAGUUAGAGGUGAAAGCCCGGGGCUCAACUCCGGAAUUGCCUUUAAGACUGCAUCGCUAGAAUUGUGGAGAGGUGAGUGGAAUUCCGAGUGUAGAGGUGAAAUUCGUAGAUAUUCGGAAGAACACCAGUGGCGAAGGCGGCUCACUGGACCGGUAUUGACGCUGAGGUGCGAAAGCGUGGGGAGCGAACGGG